CAGGCUUGAAGAGUAUAUUUUUAAGUCUAAUCUGCCCACUGAAUUUAUUUAAAGGGCCGCAGUAUUUUGACUGUGCAAAGGUAGCAUAAUUAUUUGUUUCUUAAUUAGGGACUAGUAUGAAUGAUUGAAUGAAAUUAGUACUGUCUCAUUAUAAGUGAUUAUAGAAUUUAAUUUUUAAGUAAAAAAGCUUAAAUUAAAUUAAAAGACGAGAAGACCCUAUAGAGUUUAAUAUUUAAAAAUAAUAUUAUAUAUGGGGUAAUAUAGAUAGUUUUAUUAAAAAUAUUUAAUUGGGGUGAUUAGAAAAUUAAAUUAACUUUUCUUUAGUUUAAUAUUGUUAAUAGAUAUAUGAUCCUUUAUUAUAGAUUAAAAGAUUAAAUUACCUUAGGGAUAACAGCGUACAUUUAUUUGGAGAGUUCAUAUUGAAAAAAAAGUUUGCGACCUCGAUGUUGAAAUAAAAUAUAAUUUGAGUGCAGAAGCUC
rnacentral:rRNA from 1 species